rnacentral:rRNA from 1 species
AUUGAACGCUGGCGGCAUGCUUUACACAUGCAAGUCGAACGGUAACAGGCCGCAAGGUGCUGACGAGUGGCGAACGGGUGAGUAAUGCAUCGGAACGUGCCCAGUCGUGGGGGAUAACGCAGCGAAAGCUGCGCUAAUACCGCAUACGAUCUAUGGAUGAAAGCGGGGGACCGUAAGGCCUCGCGCGAUUGGAGCGGCCGGUGUCAGAUUAGGUAGUUGGUGGGGUAAAGGCUCACCAAGCCAACGAUCUGUAGCGGUUCUGAGAGGACGACCAGCCACACUGGGACUGAGACACGGCCCAGACUCCUACGGGAGGCAGCAGUGGGGAAUUUUGGACAAUGGGCGCAAGCCUGAUCCAGCAAUGCCGCGUGCAGGAAGAAGGCCUUCGGGUUGUAAAGUGCUUUUGUACGGAACGAAAAGGCUCUGGUUAAUACCUGGGGCUCAUGACGGUACCGUAAGAAUAAGCACCGGCUAACUACGUGCCAGCCGCCGCCGUAAGAC